UAAUAAAUUUUAUUUUUAAAUAUAAGUUAGAUAAAAAAAUUUCUUACUGCUCAUGGUGCAAGAAAACACUUAGUUUUACUGAAUAUGGGAGUUAAUUUAGGGCUGGACAAAAAUGUACGUGAAUAACAUAAGUCGUCUGGGGGUAACAAGAAAAUUUUCUACCCUAUUUUUCGACUUUGUAUGAUCGUUCCAUUCCAAGUAAAAUAAUAGAAAAAUAAUUGCUGAUUACAUGAAAUAUUAGUAAUCACAUGACUAACCAUGCAAACAAUACAAAAGUAUAUUUAGCUACACGAAAUAUAUAUUAUGCAAGGUAAUAUCUCUCAACAACUUUAUGAUGUUAUGUAGUUAACAUCACAAGUUUAAUUUUAUUCAUCCAAAAAAUGAUGGGAAAUUGUCAAAAAUACCAUUUUCAAAUUAGCACUUUUCAUGUUUACACUAACCACUUUUACCCUCAUCUUUAAUGAAGGGUAAAAGACAUUUAUAACCUUUUGAUUAACUUUCACAAAAAAAAACAUAACGUUAACUAAUCUAAACUUAAAACAUCAACUUUAAACCCUAAAUCAUCAACUCUAAACCCUAAACCAUGAAACAUCAACUCUAAACCUUAAACCCCGAAACAUCAAAUCUAAACCCUAAACCCUAAACCUUCAAAUCUAAACCCUAAAACAUCAACUCUAAACCCUAAACGUAAACCCUAAACCCUAAAUCUAAACUUAAAACAUCAACUUUAAACCCUAAAUCAUCAACUUUAAACCCUAAACCAUGAAACAUCAACUCUAAACCCUAAACCUCGAAACAUCAACUCUAAACCCUAAACUCUAAACCUUCAAAUCUAAACCAUAAAACAUCAACUCUAAACCCUAAAUGUAAACCCUAAACCCUAUAUUUUUCUGAAAUUCGAACUCUAAACUCUAAAACCCUAAACCUUCAAAUCUAAACCCUAA
rnacentral:lncRNA from 1 species